UAACGGAAGCAGCUCGGCAGUUUGCCGCAGUGCGGAAAAUGUUCCGGAAUCGAUAAGAAUGAACAGAUUCAGUGUGGUCCAUGAGGUUUCAGCCACGACCUGACAUGCAAAGAAUUCAGCAAUUCCUGGGAAUAGAAGAGCGGUGCGAUGACCAGCAGUACCAGCAGCAGGACGAGGGCGCUCACCAGCCCAGAUACCUGAGUCUGACACCCUGUGGACUCCUUGACGAGGGUCUUAGUCAGCGCAGCGCUGGUGGUGAAGC